UCUAGUUCCAUGGGUACGAGUGGUCCUAGAUCAGGUAGCUGCACACUCAGCGGAAUAAGAGUUGGUAAGAGUGAGUAGUGAGGCAGAUGCAGCGUGGAGCCAGGAAUGAAAAAGCAGCCAUGCUUUGGGCUGCAUUUUCCUCUGAUGUCAAUUGUGGUGCUGCCAGAUUUCAGGGUUUCCUCUGCUUCUGUGAAGAGAGGAUUACUCUGGAAAACUGAUCAAAAAGAAUCCUAUGUACUUCAACCUAUUGAUUUGCCCAUCAGGUGCCAAAUAUUUUAUAUCUUCAAUAUAGAAGUAGAACUAAGAACUUAUUGCAACCCAUCAGCUAAAAGGUGCUACUUUAGAGGCAGUUUCAUGUAUGAAACUCUUGAUAAUAAUUUGAGUUAUUCCUUUGAAAAUACAAAACUAAUUUUGUAGAUUCACAAUCUGUUGAUUUCUUGCCCUGGAUUCCUAUUGCCCCUUAAAAUGACAGCAUUCUUUCUAAAGGGGGAAUGGGAAAUUCAGGCCAGUAUCAGGUGGUUUCAUAGCAUGGAAGGGAGGAGCAGAAGUUGCAGAGAUACGGGCCGCUACAACCGCAGACCAAAUCCCAAGCAGGUCUACAGGGAUUCCACAGAAACACUGCUUCUUCCUGGUUCCUGUCAACAAUUUGGCUACAAGAGCAGCAGAAGAACAGCAGCUUUCUGUUUCCCCCGUUACUGGAGUGGACGGCUUUUGGAAGGCACUGUGAACUUGAAAGUUGUCAAUAGUCAUUCUUGUAGUUAUGUUUAGUAAUCAUUGCGUCUGAUCAAAGAUCACAACUCAACCACGCACUGUGGGGCCUGAAAACCAGGGAAUCUCUUUUAGAAGAGCGGAAAAACGGAACUUAAAAUUUCCUGUUCAUUUUCAAAGUGAAAAAGGAGAUUUCUUUUGAAACUGACAGAAACUUUCCUCAGGGUUGAUAACAAUGUGGCAGUUAAGCUACCUUCUGGAGAACAGACACUCAGGUUCAGUCCACUGAUUUCAAAGAAUGUGUCCCCUGCCUCCUGAACUGCUGACAGUAGUAGAUUUCUCCUUCUGUAUGUCUGAGACAACUUCCCUGAAAUCCACCAUUUGCAAAGGAUUCUGUCCUGCUUAUCCACUUGUGUCACCAAGAAAAGAGAUACCUAAGCAGGUAAUUACUUUGGAAAAUAACACAGACUUUCAGGAGAAGAUGUUAUGUUCUAUAUCUCAGAAUAAAUCUGUUCAGAAGUCAAGGCUGUGUUUAUGUGCUGAACUGUGUUGUGAUUUGUGGAACCAGUGAGUUAAUUGAUGAAGGUCACGUUUCUGCAGCCUAUCUUCAAUCUACUUCUCUUUACAUCAGAGAACACAGUGAGGGAAACCACGAUGACCGAAAGUCUCAGAAGGUCCAGUUUCCUAGGUUCUUGCAGACUUGGUGAGGUGGGGACUUGCAGAGGCACUACCGAGCAAAAUAUCAACAGCAUCCAGUGAGCACUGCCUUUUAAGGAGACUGAAGGAUCUGCUUCACUGUCUUUGUUUUGGGGAGGCGUUCGUAGAAUCACAGAAUGGUUUGGACUGGAAGGGACGUUUAAGAUCAUCUAGUUCCAACCUCCUUCUAUGAGCAGGGACACCUCCCUCUAGACUGAAUUGCUCAAAGCCCCAUCCAGCCUGGCCUUGAAUGCUUCCAGGGAGGGGGCAUCCACAGCCUCACUGGGCAACCUGUUCCAGUGUCUCACCACCCUCACAGUAAAGAAUUCCUUCUUGAUAUCUAGUCUAAAUCUACCCUCUUCCAGUUCAAAACCAUUUCUCCUCAUCUUCUCACUAUAUGCCCUUAUAAAAUGCCCCUCUCCAGCUUUUCUUCAGGUAGUGGAAGGCCACUACAAGGUCCCAAUGGAGCCUUCUCUUCUCCAUGCUGAAGAGCCCAACACUCUCAGCUUGUCCUCAUAGGAGGGGUGCUCCUGUGCUCAUCUUCAUGGUCCUCUUCUGGACCCACUCCAAUAGCUCCAUAUUCUUUUCUUCUUGUGCUGGGAGCUUCAGAACUGGACACAGUACUCCAGGUGGGAUCUCACAAGAGCAACUCCCUCGAUCUGCUGGGUUGGAGGCACAGAAAAGUCAGCAGAACACUACAGAGCACGAGAGUCCAGUGGUGCUUGGAGAAGAGAUGGUGAAGGCCUGAGAUUGGUUAAAGCCUUUAAUACUUUUUUUGCUUAAGAAUAUAAGAGUAAUGACAAAUGACAGAACUUGGGCUGCCCCAACCUCAGAGUCACAGGAUUAGGAAGGAGUGAGGGAGCACAUACUUUCCAUCUGUGACCAAGGAAAUUGUAAGGGAACAGCUGUAAUAUCUCAAUGUUCAUAAGUCCACAGGACCUGAGGGGAUUUGCCCCAGAGUACUGAAGGAAUUAGUGGAUGUUAUAGCUGAAACCCUCUUAAAAGUUUACUGAAAGCUGUGGGAGUCUGGGGAGGUCCCUGUGGCUGGAAAGUAGCAAGCAUUAUAGCUAACUUCAAAAAGAGUUUGAGAGAAGACCCAGAAAAUUAUAGACCUGUCAGUCCAACUGUGGAAAAGUUAUGCAGAAGACUGUCCUGGAAGAUACUGAAAGCCAUUCAAACAAAACUGUUCUCAGAUGUAGCCAGCAUGGGUUAGUGAAGGGAAAACCCUAUCUCAGUAAUCUGAUCUGCUUCUGUGAUGAGAUCUCCCACAUUGUGGAUGAAGGGGGGCAGCGGGUGUUGUCUUUCUGGAUUUUAGUAAGGCCUUUGAUAUUUUCCUUACAGCCUCCUUCUGGACAAAUUGUCCCACUGUGAGAUUUGUUCAUGUUGUCUUAGGUAAUGAAAUGGCUCGAUGGCAGAGCAUGAAGGGGUAGUAUGAGGGAUACUGAAUGGGAGUUACAUCUGGUUGGCUGUUUGGCUACAGUCACCAGCAGUGUCUGGUGUUCAUUCUAAGGCCUGUCCUGUUGCACAUUUCAUUGAUUUGUGUGCAAGAAUAGAGUGCACCCUAAGCAAAUUUGCUGAUGACACUGAACUGAGAGGGGCUGUUGCCUCCAUGUAGGGAGGAGAGGCCUCGUAGAGGGAUCCAGAGAUGUUGCAGCAUUGGAUAAUCAUCAUGAGCAUGAAAUUCAACAAAGAAGAAUGUUGGAUGCUGCACCUGGGGCAGAGUGAUACAAUACACAGGCACAAAUGGGAAACAAAUGGGGAGCAGCUCAGGAAGAGGGGACCUGAGAGUGCUGGUACCAGCAGCUCAGCCUCAGCCAGCAGC